CCCGGGUCUUGUACACACCGCCCGUCACACCAUGGGAGCGGGAUGUACCAGAAGUAGGUAGGCUAACCGCAAGGGGGCCGCUUACCACGGUGCGUUUCGGUGACGUGGGGUG
rnacentral:rRNA from 1 species